UCAGGGAAAGGUCUUGAUCCAUUAAAGAAUUCUGAAAUAUGGAAUAAAGAUAAAUUAAUACAUGUAUUCUGAAGGAAUAAUUGAAUGAAAGAAUAAGAUCCUCUUUUUUUCCAAUAUGAGUUAUGGGUUCGGUUUAAGUUAUGAUUCUGCUUGUUUUGCUUUGAAAUUGCACAAGUAUUAUUCUGUUUUGAUUUUUUUUUCCAGUUUCAUUUUUUAAUCCUUUCCUAUUUUAAACCGUUUUUUCUUCCAGGCGUCGUGUCUAGGCUGCGACUUCUAGUUUUUAUUUACUCUGUGCUGCCACACGCAGAGGAUUUCUGUACUUUUUUAAACAUCUCACGUCAAACAGACCUUUUCUUAAGCCACCUCUCAACCCCGCGUCUACUUGUCAAGGAUGAUAAGGUAAACGAAAAGCCCGUAUGAAAAGCAAUUCUACGUUAGUUUUGACCCAUGUCUCCUGAUCAUAUCGAUUUUGUUGAAAUUACCCAGUCUUCUUUGUUAAAUUCUGAUUUAAUAUCUUUUAUCGUAAAAAUGUAUCCAUUUCUCCCGUUGCUGGGUUAAGUGUAAAAUUCUGGGCUUUGGGACUUCAAUUUUGACGAUUUUGGCACGACAGGGGAUUCGAUUGAAGAAUUCCCCUCUUACCAGACAAUGUGGUUAACGAUAAGAUUUGAAGUGAAGUUAAUUCUUUAUUGAUGAAUAAAAAUCUUGACCAUAGUUCUAAGGAACUUCUGGUGGUUUUAGAAAUUUUCUAACAUAUUCUACAUCCAUUAAAUUUUAUAGAUUGGUUUUGACAUUUCCCAUUAGCUGUUUAGAAAUGACUAAUCCAAGAACUCUCGCAAUUGAGGAAAUCCUAUUUUCAUAUUUCCUAUUAUGAUUAGAAGAUGAUUUUGGUAUUCUAUUUAUGGGGAAAACAUUUGAUAUCAUCAAAGGCAAACGAGGUCCUUUAUUUGUUACUAAAUAGUGAAGAGUUGUCUGUUAAAAUCGCUUCCAACUCUUCGCCUUUUUAUUUUGGUAUGUUCGGAGGAGUAGAGUUACGUGUACCUUUAAAAAGCAUAAAGGAAUCAUUUAUGAUAUCAAUCCAACCCUUUACCACAAGAGAAUGAUCAGGCAAUAUUUAAAAAAUCAUCGGAUAAAAUGUGUCCAAAUUAAAUUGUUAUCGCGAUACCACUAACACGGUUCAUGCUCGCGAUGCUUUUCAAUGCUUGGUGGGCGGUAAUCGCAUGCAAUUAAGUGGGGUAUUAUUAAUUAGCCCGUGUUAACCGUUGUAAAUGACGUGAGAGCUAGCUAAUGUAAAUCUAUCAACUAAGGUCUAUGAAUGUCUAGAUAUCAAAAUUCAUUGUCUGAUUGCUUUGCGAUAACCAUUCGAUGCCAUCGCUUCAGGACCUCGCCCUUCUUCAAUGGCGCCUUACACUCGGCAUGGAACGAAACCCAAGACUGCAAUAAAUCACCCUUUUCGAAUUUAAUUAUGCUCUUUCUUUUAAUAACGUUUAAUUUGAUCCCUUCUUUAGAUGGAACUUCGAUGCAUUUAAUCACAGACGACAGUGUACAACUUUAUUCGAGUACUUUCCAGACUUGGUGAUGAAUCGGCAAGUUGCACGGCAAUGUUUGUGUACCGGUUGCUAGUUUUUAAAUCGGUAUCACUUUCCGUUAUUGUUUUGACAACGUUUUACUCAACAUAUGAUUUUUAAAACUGUGCUAAUAUUUAGAUUAAACAAAACUAGAGAAAUAAACUUUGUCCCAUAUCAAUCCUUUAUGAAAAAAUCUAAUAUCAAUAUAUACUUUAUUAAAAAGACAAAUACAUUUGCAUUGAUCGUCGAUAUUUUUAAAUUUUGAUCUUUAAAUUUCAUUUAGAAAAUCUAUUCAUUUGUUUGUUGUCCUAAAAUGGUAUCUUGAUCAGAAAUACAAUAUGUACAUAGUAUAAACAUAUAUGAAUCAUAAAAAACCCUUGAGUCAGAGAAAAUGGAGACAUUGCCGUAUAUCCGGAACAAAAAUGAUCACUGUGAUUUAAAUAUGAAAGUGUAUUUUUAACUUUUAGCUUUUAGGAACACCAGUAUCAAUAGCUAAUUCAACUUUGUUAUUACUUUACUGGAGUCAAUAUUUAAAAAGUUUAUAUUUUGAAGAAUUAAGUACUUCCUGAUUUCCAGUUUCCUGUUCAAUCAAUAUAAGAACUUAGUUACGGUGUUAUGACGAGUUCGUGAUUAGAUACCUAUAAGUAUAUAUAACAACCAAAUAAAAACUAAAUAAAUAAAAACACUAGAUGAAAAUGAUUUGAACUCCUUUACGCCAAUAUUGAUCUCCUGUAACAGCAUUUCACUAUAUUAUACAUGUACAUGUCCUUGUUCUAUCUAAAAUGUGGAAUUAUUCUUAUGAUUUUUAUUUAUUUCUAUUUUAUGUUUAACACAGGAAUGCGUUUUCAGAGCUCUUCUGGUCGGUGCGUGUGUUUUGUAUCUGUUAUUGUGGACAUGCACAUUACACGUAAAGUGUACGUAGACAUUAGAAUCGUCAUGUACUCCCCAAAGAUAGGAUGUAGCUCUUAAUUCACUUCCUCUGUUUUGUUUUAAGUAGAAGCAAAAUACUUUCAUAUUGUCGAUGUCGCUCCUUUUUAAUACGGUAAAAAACAUGUUUGUUCCUCUUCGAAUUGGGGGUGGGGGUGGGGGGGUGGGGGUUGAGGUAAACAUUAUAUACUCAAUUAGCGUCAUUCUCCCUGAUGUCGUUAUAACGUUUUACCACCUGUAUCACAUUAUAUCUAACAUUAUAUUUUAUAUAGUAAAUUCGACCCCCAAGCGAUACAAUUGCCUAUGGUUUGUAACAGUAUUGAACAUCUCGCACAUGUAUAGGCCUAUAUCAGGAUUUCGCCAGUCAGGUAGCUGGCUAUUGAACAUCCCGUAUAUAUCAGGAUUUCGCCAGUCAGGUAGCUGGCACUCAAACACCCCAAUUCAAAUUUCCGAGCUUGUUUGAAUAAUGUUUGGUAGCAAGGGAACAAAUAAGGUUGAAAUGCAAACAAGCGUCUACACGGCUUUCGCUGUUGUAUCGGCGAUCAAACACGCAAACGGAGUUCCGGAGACAUAGUUUAAUCAAAUAUUGAAUGAUGACUUAACAAAAUUUAUUUUACUGGAAUAUAUAUGAUUAUAGGUCAAGAUAUUUGCACAGUAUGUUCAAAUGAAAUCAAGAGGCGUGAUUUGGACGUAAGUUGGAAAAAAAAUGGGACGUUGUCCUUAUUCAUAAGAUCAACAGACGUUGGUGAAUUUAGACAGAAAAUUUACUUCUAUAUUGAAAAUACAUUGUACAUAUUUCUAGUUAUUUUUUCACUUUCGAUAUCUGAAGCUUUAUUUGCAUAUAAAAUAAAAUUUGUUUUGAAGUUGAUAGCGAUUCUCUCAAUUAUGCAGGAAACGAAAUAGUGUUUUUAAAGAAAAAUUUAACAUGCAUGCAAAACAAAUAAUCAAACAAAUGCAACAAAUGAGGAAAAGAAAAACUUUUUUUUUUCAAACUGGAUGAAAAUGCAAACUAAAUUUAUGUUUUUAUAAGUAACAUUAACACGAUUUACCAUAAGCAAUGUAAUUUAUUCCCACAAUUAAGAUUUCAAUUGCGUCCGAAACAGUGGAGGAGUGUUAUAUAGGAAGUGGUACAAUAUAUUUCAACUUUUGAAUAUCAUGGAAAAUGUACAAAUCCCAUUUUUUUUAAAUAAAGGAAUUCUACAUUUGUACAUUUACAACCAAACAAGGUAAAAAAAAAAUUUAUCAAUCGAGUUUUGUUUCUUUGUAUCAAGUACCCUCAAAAGAUUAAAAUUAAUAUCCGUGUACACUCAACAUUAAGACAGUGUUCUGUACUCACCAUUUCUUCUCUAAGUUUGCCCAUGGCUACGUCUAUGGUUGUGAUCUUCCCGCCCCGGGGGGAGGGAUUCGUCUUAGGGGUCUGUUUCCUCGCCUCAGCGUCCUCCAUUCUUUUCAGGUAGAAUUCUCUGCACUUGUUGGAUAACUCAAUAGAUUCACUGUACCUAUCUGUCGUCAGUUCCAUACUGUUGAUAAUUAAUUAAGUAGUCGGGAUUAAUUAAGAGUUCGGCUGGAACUCGUGUCUUUGAAUUCUGUUCUACAAC